CCUGGCGGCAGGGGCGCGGUGGUCCCCCCUGCCCCCAUGCCGAACUCAGAAGUGAAACGCCGUAGCGCCGAUGGUAGUGUGGGGUCUCCCCAUGCGAGAGUAGGGAACUGCCAGGC
rnacentral:rRNA from 1 species